ensembl:rRNA 5S_rRNA 5S ribosomal RNA
ACUUGCAGCCAUAUCCCUCUGGGCUGUGUUAUUAACACUCAUAAACUAAGUAGGAUAGGGCUAGGUCAGUACUUGGUUGGGAGACCUCGAAGAAAAACUCAGUAGACGGAGGAA